CUGACCCUAAAACCCUAGUGAAGAUCGUGCGGGUGUUAAUCUGAAAAAAUACCAAAAAUUUUCCAAAUUUUUUUUAUAAAAGGCUAUCCUCUUUUAUUUUGAAGCGUGUGACGAAAAAAAAUGUCAUAAUCUGGAGAAGGUACAGCAAAAUCAAAAAGUUCUCGAGUUUAACGACACACUUCGCCGAAAACCCUAUGUUCAGGUAGCAUUCGACUCCGGCUGUAUUUCCUGCUUGAAAAUACAGUUUCGUCUAUUUCAACAAUUUUAUCGGGACCGCUAAUCUUCAAUGGAUCUAGUAAAUAAUUUCUACGGUCUACUGAAAUGGUAACCUCCCCCUGGCAAGCAUUCGUAUUCCCCUUCCUCUUUACAAAAGCUAGUAGUUGUCAAUUCUUUCACCCAGCAGCAUGUGUACACAACAAUACACUGGCGUUGCCAUGACAACAAAUAGUUUCAACUUCUGCUUUAAGGACACUUGCUAAAAACAUGUAACCAUAAAUGCCUCUAACUUCUUUAUAAUAUUUCGAAAAAACGAAUUCGCUUUUCGUCAUCAGCAAGUAAAACUACAUCAAAAUUACAUUUUUUGAAAACUUUCAGAUUAAAAUCUGUAGCUGGAAGAAAGUAAAAAACCCAAUAAAACAUUACAUGAAAUACUGACAACAUCUCGGACAUGCGACUGUGUCUUGAAAAAUAUCAACAACCAAGAAAGUAGUAACCAAACUUUAAUCGCAUUUUGUCGGCAACAAAAGGACGAGGGGCGAGGCGGUAGAUUUGGGUCACAUCUUUACAACUUUUCAAGUAAAUAAAGUUUUAUAAAAGACGAAACAAAGAGGGAACAACGAAAAACUACACGAUCGAGGGAGUGGAUAUGGGAUAAAAAUAUGGCGAAGGAAAAGAAUAUGUACACCCGGUUAGGGUUUUUGUUACGCCGAAAACCGGUGGUGUACGUAUUCUUUACCUCGGCCAAAAAUAUGGAGCAAAAAUAAUGAAGGAAGAGGUUGAACGAAUUAAAAUAAAUAUUACGAAUUUCCUGAAAUUUAGAUUAAUUACCGUAUUUAGAUGAAGUACAUGAGAGAAAGAAGUAACUAUGAAGAAACAAAAGAAAAUAGGAUCUUGAAGAGAACAGAAGUUAUGUAAGAGAAGAAGAAAUGUAAGAAUACAAGAGAGACUUUUUUCAAUACAAAAUGUGUAAAAUUAAUAAAUGAUACUUGCAUGGAAACGUAGUUAUUGAUGAAAUAAUGUGAGAUGUUCUGAAGUAGAGAUUUGAAAUUAAUGAGGUCAUCGAUUGGGCAGAAUUUUUAACUGCUUUUUAUUGAAUAUCCCUAUUGUGUUCGACUGGUUAAUGAACAAUCAUUGAAGUUAAUUACAGGCGGUAAUUAAUUAUUACUAACACUGUAAAUACGGGCAAAGAAAUAAUAUAUAAACAGUGUAAGGGCACAUGCCUCAGAAAAUUACAAGCAUAACGGAAGUAGCAUUCGUUGUGUAGGAAUAACCUACCUCUAAUCAAUAGAGAAUUCUUUAAAGUCUCUUGAUUCCCGGAAAAUUAUUAGUUUAUGUUUUAUAACUUUGGUUUCCUGUGUAUUCACAUUACCCUUGCGAUUUCGGUAAAACGGUAAAUUAUAAUGCUUAGAACCCGUGAUAUGUUCAUGACAUUAAAUUAGUGAAAUAAUCAGAAUUGUAAAGUAAUUUUAAAAGGCGAAAAAAAAAAAAGAAAGAAAAAUGGAUUUUUAGACAUCCCGUAACAUUGUUAUGAUGCCUUUAAAAAAACACUUUGAACAUCAGAGAUUAUAAACUGACAUCUGACUGUUCAAAGAAGAUUUCAGAAAGUAACUAGUAGCCAACUCUCAUGUGACAGGCAUGUACAACCUGCUGUUCUUUACACAAGUUCAUUUCUCUUACAUCCACUCACAUUUUCUCUCAAAUUUUAACUUGCUUAGUAUGGUGUAUAGUGUUAAUUUGUAUUAUAAAGGCUUGACUGUAUGGUUAAAAGCUAUGAUGCGGAACCAUGUAGUCAAUGGUUUGGUCCUACUGCAUAAAUGUUAUUGGCUAACAUUUCAUACUAUAGCUUUAUAAGUGAAAUUAUCAGACAGAAACUUAAGAAGCCUGUCAUAUAUAUAUAUGUGGAAGACAUAGGAUGGAGUACUGAGGAACAACCUCGGGACAUUGAAUCUUUUAGGCGGGAUGACAAAGGACUGAAAUGCCUGGCAUCUUGCCAUACUCAAUAGGACCCAUACUCUGCAGUAGAAAUGCUAAGACCAAUACUUCUGGUGGUGUAAAGCACUCAUGGCAGUGCCAUGUAAAAGCCUGCCCAUGCAGGACUGUGAAAUAACGCCCGUGUGGCUACACAUAAACGCACCCAGCACACUCUAUAAAGUGGUUUGCAUUAGGAAGGACAUUCAUCCAAAGAAACCAUGCCAAAUCAGACUGGCGUCAGGUGCAGUUCGCCAGCCUGCCAGCCCUGGUCAAACUAUCCAACCCAUGCCAGCAUGGACAAUGGACAUUAAAUGAGGACGAUGAUGAUAAAUAGAUAGGACGAUAUACUUCUGUGUACAUUUGUGUGAGUUCAUAUUUCCCCUCAUGUUCAUGUAGAUUUGUUGACUGUAAAUGAAAAUCUUGCUGUCAAUAGUGUCCUUUGCUUGCAAUCCAUCACAAAAGAAUGUGUAGACUUGUUUGACAUGUUAUGUGAUCUUUGUAAACAAAAGAGCCAUUCAAAUGGUAUAGUUUGUUUCCAGUUCACUACAUAACUUCAUCCAGGUUGUGCACUGUUGAAAAGACUAGGAAAUUAUUAACUUACUUGAAAAUAAGGUUUGGUGAUAGGAAGGCCAUCCAGCCAUUGAAAAUCUACUUCAACAAAUUCUGUCUAGCUUAUGCAAGUGUGGUGAAAUGGACAUUAAGAUGAUGAUAAUGAAAUGAAAAUCAGCAACAUCUCAUAAAACCUGCUGCUAAAAAAAGGUUGCCUCAUUCUACUUCACACUACUAUGUGCCAUUUUACUUUACUGUCAAUAAAUGAAUUACUGUAUAAAAAACCCUCGUGUAUAAGGAACCCCCAAAUUUUGCAGGCUUAAAAAAGCAUUUGUAAGAGAUUAGGUAAAUUCUGAUAAGUGCAGCCGCACUUAUCGGGUAAUGCAUUUCAUCUUUGUGUGGGGAGAGAGAGAUGAGAGACUAUGGAUAUGGUAAGAAAGAAAGAAGGCCUUCUUUGAAAGAAAGGAGACACAUAAAUGAAAUUAAAAAUAUCUUAAAUGAUAAACACACACAAACAAAUGCAUAGUAAAUUCUGGAUGCUUUUAAAAGAUACAAUAUUUUCCCAUUAGAAUAUACUUCUUUCCUCACACAACAUUUAAGAUAUAGUUAUUUUAAAUCGAUUCUUAGUACAAAGAGAAAACUAAUUCUCUCAAUCUCGAUUCGAGUUUCAGGUGGGAAAACUUGCAAAGAGAAAGUGAAUUUUUUUAUUUUUAUAUAUAAAACACUCGAUACCAUUUGAAUAUAUUCUGCAAUCUGGGAUUAAUAUAUCUAGUGAUUUUAAGAGGUAUGAAAAAGAUAUUUUGUUUUAAUAUCAUACUUUUACUUGUUUCACACUAACACAAAAGUUCUCCAGGGGAUACAUUCUUGUCGUUACCACUAAUUUCUAUAACUUCAGCAUUUUCAAUUCUUUUCAAAGUUGUUUAAACUUUCAAUUUUAUGUAAUCUACACUCUUGAAAACAUAUUUCUGUAAAAUGUUGGGGUUGGGGUUGAAAUUUCUGAGAGUUCCACCCCACCCUCCGUUUUCAGAACAAAAAGUGUUUUGUAGCAUAUUAGAAGGUCACUGUAAUUCAUUCAAUGAAAAAAAUUAAUUUCCAAUGAUUCCGGGAUGAGAAGGAGGGUUCCCAACCCCACUUUUUUCCGACCAAAAAAUAAGGGGAUUGCGACACAUUAGGAGGUCAGGGUACUUGAUUCCAUGCAAAAAAUCCAAGGUUUUUUUUUUUCUUAGUGAAAUGUGUGCAGGUGCACUUAUCAAAAUUUACUGUAAAAUACCCUUAAGAAGAAUAUUAAUAAAUAUCUUCACAAGUUAACAAGUUUUAUCAAAAAUAUUUUUUAUUAAUCAUAGAAACCAUUAAAUUCCUCAUCACUCUCAUCUAAUACAUCAUAAUCAGAUACAACUACUGGUAGUUCAUUAUCAUCAGAGUCACCCUCAUUGUAAAUUGCAUUAUCCUCUGUACCAUCCAUGUUGUUGCUUAUGUCGCACGUUUUAAAGGCAUUUACAAUCACUUCUUUCUUCAUACCGUUCCACGAAUUCUUCGCGUAGCCAAACUUCACUUGAAUGGUUUGUUGUUACUGAUGUCCAGAGGUUGAAGUUGGCUUGUCAGGCCACCAGGAAUAACUGCCAAUUGGGUUUUUGAUUUUUUCUUUUGCCAAUUUUUAUGUUGUAUCAGUUAUAAGUGCCCUGAACUGAUCUAACACCAGCGUAGAUGGCUUCUUAAAAAGGUUCCCAGGUCUCUUACUCCAAAUCUUCAUAACAUCUUGAUCCAUCCAGCCCAUUGCAUGAACAUGCACAAGAACUCCUUCUGGCAGUUUCUCCUUUGGAAGUGUCUUUCUUUUGAAAAUGAGUAUUGGUGGCAGCUGGGUACCAUCAGUACAGUAUGCCAGGACAACUGUGUAAUGAGUCUUCUCAUGUCCACUUGUCUUGAUGGCCACUGUUUUAGCCUUUUUUUGAUUCACAGUUUUGUUGGAAGGAACAUCAAAGGUAAAUGGAAAUUCAUCCAUAUUUGCUAUGUGGCAAAGUUCAAAGUUGGUAUUCUUGUGUAAAUUAAUGAUAUAAGAAUGAAACUUAGGAAUCUUUUCUUCAUAAGCAUCAAGCAUCUUCUGAACAAGCUUGGUUCUAGUCCUUAGAUUUAAACCAUUCCUCUUCAUAAAACAGAAGCACCAGAUGGGCAUGCCUUUAAAAUCAGUUGUCUCUUGCCCUUCCUCUUUGUUCUUUUUAUCUCCUGAGCAAUUUUUCUUCCUUGAUUGAUUAGAAUCUUUGUCAAAACAAAUGCAUCAGUUUGCCUUCAGCUUUCGACCCAGUGUUUGAGUUUUCUCUCCAGAUUUGGCCACCUUGCCUUUUUGCCUCAUGCUGCUCUCUUCAUCCUUGGCAUCUGUAAAAGUUCAUCUUUGUGCUUUUAUCCACAGUCCAAUCAUGGUAGUCAUAAGAGGAGGCUCAAACUGUCUUGCUGCAGCUUUAUCUCCAUGCUCCUCUACAAACUGAAUCACUUUCAAUUUGAAAUUUGCAGGAUAUGAAAUGUACUUUUUAUUCUCAGACAUUUUUAUGCUAAUAGAAAACAAAAAUCUAUAAAAAGAGUAAUGCAGGAUCAAUUCAAAUAACAGUAGACAAUACCUAAGAGUGUGUCUCAGUUGAAUUUCCAUAUUUGGUUAUGCUACAUUCAUGCCUGUUUCAGUGUGAGCUGCAUUGUCAUAUAUGGCUAUUGAGCAGGCUUACUGUCUCUGAUAGGUUGUAUGACCUCCAUAAGCAGCCUGGGUUUUUUAGAAAGUGUUAAUGUUCGCACUUGCGUGUUCACUCGCAAUUUUAAAUACAAUACAGAACUGUCAUGUUAAUACAAAAAUACGGAUUUAACAGUCUCGGUGAGCAUAAGUAAGUACUGUUUGGCAGACAAUUGCCGUUUGUGAUGGCUGCUUUAGGCGCAUGCCGUUGCUUGACGAAUGGAUAGCAACUCAUCCAAUAGGACGUCACAACCUGUUGGGUGUUGGUCUGAGGCUUGCGAUGUUUAAGUCAUAGAGAUUUGAGGUUCGAGCAAUUAAGUAAUUUAUUAAUAUCUAUAAUACUAUCCAUGUAGAAGAAACUCCUAUAUUUUUUUAACCUAAUUUUUGACAAAAAAGGGUUCCUUAUACAUGUUAAAAUAUGGUACUUUUAUUCUGUCAAAAUUUUAUUUCCUGAGUGCAAAUGAAAAUAUUAAGUAACAGAAAUAUUCAACAAUGAAAGUCAAUAAAAGACUGAACAUUGCAGUGUCAGCUGAGUUACUGAUAAGCAACUAGUAUGACGUUCCCAUUAUUUCAACUGGAUCCACAAUAUAUUUAAGAUCAAAAGUUAGUAGGAGAGAAUUAUAGCAAAUAAAUGAAAUGCAAUUACUUUUCUUUAA